rfam:Corchorus olitorius cultivar O-4 contig22235, whole genome shotgun sequence.
ACUCCAUGGUGUGGACAUUUCGGCUGCAAAUCCUUGAAUCUUUCCCAAGCAUCAUAAAGUGUUUUGUUGUCACGCUGCUUGAAGCCAAUGAUGUCAGUUCUCAGCUU